rfam:Brevibacillus borstelensis AK1 seq_num_017, whole genome shotgun sequence.
UGAAAAGAAUAUGCCAUGCCGUAGACAGAAGGUGCAGAGCCCAAAAGCCCUGCUUAAUAUCCCUCCGAGGCGUGUAAUGAAGCGGAUAGAGGAAAUGCUAGAUUUCCUUUGACGAUAUACAUUAUGCCCUCGUAGAUGCUACGAGGGCAUUCUUUUUUCCAGGA